rnacentral:rRNA from 1 species
AUAAGUGAAUAGUGAAAUCUGGUGGCUCAACCAUACAGGCUAUUGUUCAAACUGUGCAACUUGAGAGUGGUAGAGGUCACUGGAAUUUCUUGUGUAGGAGUGAAAUCCGUAGAUAUAAGAAGGAACACCAAUGGCGUAGGCAGGUGACUGGACCAUUUCUGACGCUAAGGCACGAAAGCGUGGGAGCGAACCGGAUUAGAUACCCGGGUAGUCCACGCCGUAAACGAUGGAUACUG